AGGUCCAGCCUGCCCAGUGAUAAAUUCAACGGCCGCGGUAUCCUAACCGCGCGAAGGUAGCAUAAUCACUUGUUCUUUAAAUAGGGACUUGUAUCAACGGCAUCACGAGGGUUACACUGUCUCCUCUCUCCAAUCAGUGAAACUGAUCUCCCCGUGAAGAAGCGGGGAUAGACUAAUAAGACGAGAAGACCCCAUGGAGCUUUAAACCCACAGCAACUCUAACACCUUAUCCCUCAUAACCAGUAGAGACAUGCACGUCGGCUUUAGGUUGGGGUGACCGCGGAGUAAAACCAACCCUCCACGACGAAAAGAACUAAAUCUUUAUCUAAGAGUGACCACUCUAAGAAUUAGCAUACUAACGAACAAUGACCCGAUAAUCGAUCAACGGACCAAGUUACCCUGGGGAUAACAGCGCAAUCUACUUCAAGAGCCCGUAUCAACAAGUAGGCUUACGACCUCGAUGUUGGAUCAGGGUACCCCGGUGGUGCAGCCGCUACUAAAGGUUCGUUUGUUCAACGAU
rnacentral:rRNA from 1 species